GGGGCUGAUUCAGGAUUCGACGGGAAUUUUGCAACCUUAGGAGCAUGCCGUGGGGCGGUUGGCCACGUAAAAAGCCGCAAAAAAAUAGUCGCAAACGACGAAAACUACGCACUAGCAGCUUAAUAACCUGCUCAGAGCUCUCUUGCCCUAGCUUCCGCUUGUAAGACGGGGAACAACAAGAGAUCAAACCCAAACGAGAUCGUGUGGACGCUCCUUCCUGAGAGCCGAAAUACUAAAAAUAAUUCAGGAUAGUUAUUAGAUGGCGUGUCGGUUCGCAGUCUGAUAGUGAAAUUAAAGAUCGACUAAGCAUGUAGCGCCAACGGCGAACGAUUUUCGGACGGGGGUUCAAAUCCCCCCAGCUCCACCA
rnacentral:tmRNA from 1 species